rnacentral:rRNA from 1 species
GUCUACAAUUGUACCACCCUGAAUCUCAUCUGAUUUUGCCUGAUGCCUGCUCUCAUCUGAUCUCUGAAACUAAGUAGGGUUGAGCCUGGUUAGUACUUGCAUGGAAGACUGCCUGGGAAUACCUGGUGCUAUAGAGA